rnacentral:rRNA from 1 species
GAUGAACGCUGACAGCAUGCUUAACACAUGCAAGUCAACUUGAACUUCGGUUUGGGUGGCGGACGGGUGAGUAACGCGUAAAGAACUUGCCUCACAGAUAGGGACAACAUUUGGAAACGAAUGCUAAUACCUGAUAUUAUGAUUAUAUGGCAUCGUAUAAUUAUGAAAGCUAUAUGCGCUGUGAGAGAGCUUUGCGUCCCAUUAGCUAGUUGGAGAGGUAUCGGCUCACCAAGGCGAUGAUGGGUAGCCGGCCUGAGAGGGUGAUCGGCCACAAGGGGACUGAGGCACGGCCCUUACGCCUACGGGAGGCAGGAGUGAGGAAUAUUGGACAAUGGACCAAGAGUCUGAUCCAGCAAUUCUGUGUGCACGAUGAAGUUUUUCGGAAUGUAAAGUGCUUUCAGUUGAGAAGAAAAAAAUGACGGUACCAACAGAAGAAGUGACGGCUAAAUACGUG